AGGUCCAAGCAAAACCUGUAAAAUGUUGCUGCUCCAUGUCAUUACUCUGGCUUUGGUUUUGUCUUAUGGAUGUGCACAAAUACAUCUGAGACAAGCUCAGUUGUCGAUUACCAGGGCAGAAACUAAAACUGCACGUAUAGUCUGUGAGGCUUCUGGCAUUCAGAACUUUGCAAAUGCUGUUAUACACUGGUAUCGACACAGACCUGGUGAAGCUCCGGAGCGGAUUCUGUACAUCUCUUCUGGACAACCUGUCUUUGACAAAGACGCAGAUAAGAAAAAGUUUAAUUGUGAUAAACAGGCUAACCAGCCCAUCUCUACCCUAACAGUAAAUGAAAUAGCUCCUAAUGAUGGAGCUACCUAUUAUUGUGCCUAUUGGGAUCUCACAGUGUUAGAAAGCCAUAGACAGCUUGUACAAAAACCUCACUCUGAAUACUAACCCAUAUCCUAUCAAAUUUAUGAACCUACAACUACCUGCCUGAUUUUACCAUCAGCUGUAGA